rnacentral:rRNA from 1 species
GAUGAACGCUAGCGGCGUGCCUAAUACAUGCAAGUCGAGCGAACGGUCGAGGAGCUUGCUCCUCUGACGUUAGCGGCGUACGUGUGAGUUACACGUUGUUACCCUACCUAUCAGACUGGGCUAACUUCGAGAAACUGCAGCUAAUACCGGAUAACAUGUUGAACCGCUUGUUUCAACAGUUCACGACAGUCUUGCUGUUCCUUACAGAUGGCUCCCUGCCGCAUUAGCUAUUUGGUCAGGUAACGGCUUACCAAGGCAACGAUGCGUAGGCGACCUGAGAGGGUGAUCGGGCACACUGGAUCUGGGACACGGUCCAGACGCCUACGCUAGGCAGCAGUAGGGUAUCGUCCACAACAGGCUAAAGGCUAACCGAACAAAGCCACGUGAGUGAAGAGGGUCGUCGGAUCGUAAAACUCUGCUAUUAGGGAAGGACAAGAGUGUAAGCAACUACGCGCGUUAUGACGGUACCUAAUCAGAAAGCCACGGCUAACUACGUG